AUGCAACUAGGGGUUUAAAAUGGAAAAUGCUGGAAAGUAAAGAUGGCGCCACUAUAAACACUUGCCGGCGCCACAACAGGCUGGGGCCGACCAUCAGGCCCUACUAUGAAGGCCUACCGGCGCCACAGGCCAAGACGUAAAACAAAUAUAUAUGUAUAAUGCCAUGUUGUAGGGUUCAUCAGGGCUAACAAAUGUUAUUAUACAAUGUCAUGUCUACUAUGCAUGGGUAAGCCAGGAAAACAACAACAACAAAAAAAGACGAAAGGAUGAACAACAAUACCAAUAAAGGAACACAAAAAACACGAUGAAAGGAAAGAAAGAAAAAAAUGUCAUGUCUACAAUGCAUGGGUAAGCCAGGAAAACAACAAAAAAAAAAGACGAAAGGAUGAACAACAAUAACAAUAAAGGAACACAAAAAACACGAUGAAAGGAAAGAAAGAAAAAAAUAAGGGAAAGAAAGACAGAAAAAAGAAAGGGAAAGAGAGAACGGAAGCAGUACCCAACACAACGAAACGGAACAAGAGAUAAAGAGAAGGAAUGGAAAGCAAAGAAACAGCAGUAAAGGAAAUAAAGCUAAACAAAGACAAACAAUAGCAAACAACCACAGUGCCAUCAGUUCAUCCCAUCGCUAAAGGGACAAAGGAUGACACCAGAGCUUGGUGCGUGAAGCGGGGUAGGGGGAAGGAAGGGGAGGGGUAGAAGAGGAGGAGGAGGAGGAGGAGGUGGUCGGGUGAAGGGAAGGAGGAGGAAUGGGAAGGAAGGGGAGGGAUAGGAGAGGAGGAGGUGAUGGGUGAAAGGGGAGGAGGAGGAAUGUGAAGGAAGGGGAGUGAGAGAAGAGGAGGAGGAGGAGGAGGAGGUGAUGAUGGGAAGAAUGGGGAAAGGGUAGGGAUAGAAGAAUGGGAGGAGGGGGAGGUGAUUGGAAGAAGAGGGGAAAGGGGAAGGAAGGGGAGGGAUAGAAGAGGAGGAGGAAGAGGUGAUGAGAAAAGGGGGGAAGGGGAGGAGGAGGGGAUGAUGGGAAGAAGGAGGAAGGGGUUUAAGUCCUCCCAGACACAAGGCUUUAAUCGCAUGAGUGGGGAGGAAGGGGGAAGGAAGGGGAGGAACAGACGGGGAGGAGGAGGAGGAGGAGGAAGGGGAUGAUGGGAAGAAGGAGGAGGAGGAAGAGGUUUUAAGUUCUCCCAGACACCAGACCUCGAGUACUUCCUUCCUCCUCCUCCUCCUCCUCCUCCUCCUCCUCCUCCUCCUUCUUUCUCUCUUGGCACUCUUAGGGCAUAAUGGAGUAUAAGGGUGUGUCUCUCAGGCCUUCCCCCCCCCCCCCCCCUGAAUGACACCCCAUUAUGCGAGGGGGAGGGGGUGGGGGGAGGAGGGGAGAAAGAAGGGGGGAGUAAGGGUGAGGACGUGAUUAAGGGGGGAGGGGGUGA